GUUGUAAUCAACAUAACAAGAAAUCUCCUGCCACUGAGGACUCAUAGGCGCUGCAACAUCAUGCCUGGAAAAUAAAGUUACAAGUUUCAUCACAUGAGUUAGAACAGGCAAUUCUGAAUAAUUCAAUUGACCAGAUUGAUUAACAAAAAUGCAAGAUGAUGGAAGUGCAUCAAUGUAACAGCACGCUCGCUCCUUGUACAUACGUGUUAAGAUAACGAGCUGUCAUCCCAUGGACCAAUUGCACAAUAUCACCAUGGCGAACUGAGCGAGGUGGAUUGCUGACAACCAGCUCCUGUCUGAAUAAGAAAGAAAACACAAUGACAAGUCCAUAUAGUUUAUAUAUAAAUAACUGUCUGCUAAACAUCUUCAUUUCAGCUAAGCACAAAAACAUCAAGUGAUGAGCUUGGGAACUAAGGAAGAUAAAUUAAAAUUCUGUUGGAAAAAAAGCAUUCAUGGCAAUAUUUACGUUUUGUCUCAGAAUUAGUAGUAACAGUAGAAGGAAUUAAGUUACUAUUUAGAAAGUAUCAUGAUGCAAUUUGGAAGUAUUGUCAAGUGCACAAAUAAAAUCUUCU